CCUACGGGUGGCAGCAGUGGGGAAUAUUGCACAAUGGGCGAAACCCUGAUGCAGCGACGCCGCGUGAGGGAAGAAGUAUUUCGGUAUGUAAAGCUCUAUCAGCAGGGAAGAACAUGACGGUACCUGACUAAGAAGCACUGGCUAACUACGUGACAGCAGCCGCGGGAAUACGUAGGGGGCAAGCGUUCUCCGGAUUUACUGGGUGUAAAGGGAGCGUAGACGGCCAGACAAGUCAGAAGUGAAAGCCCAGGGCGCAACCCUGGGACUGCUUUUGAAACUGGCGGGCUGGAGUGCAGGAGAGGUAAGCGGAAUUCCUGGUGUAGCGGUGAAAUGCGUAGAUAUUAGGAGGAACACCAGUGGCGAAGGCGGCUUACUGGACUGUAACUGACGUUGAGGCUCGAAAGCGUGGGGAGCAAACAGGAUUAGAUACCCCGGUAGUC
rnacentral:rRNA from 1 species